CGGGACACGUGGUAUCCUGUCUGAAUAUGGGGGGACCAUCCUCCAAGGCUAAAUACUCCUGACUGACCGAUAGUGAACCAGUACCGUGAGGGAAAGGCGAAAAGAACCCCGGCGAGGGGAGUGAAAAAGAACCUGAAACCGUGUACGUACAAGCAGUGGGAGCCUCUUUAUGGGGUGACUGCGUACCUUUUGUAUAAUGGGUCAGCGACUUAUAUUCUGUAGCAAGGUUAACCGAAUAGGGGAGCCGAAGGGAAACCGAGUCUUAACUGGGCGUUAAGUUGCAGGGUAUAGACCCGAAACCCGGUGAUCUAGCCAUGGGCAGGUUGAAGGUUGGGUAACACUAACUGGAGGACCGAACCGACUAAUGUUGAAAAAUUAGCGGAUGACUUGUGGCUGGGGGUGAAAGGCCAAUCAAACCGGGAGAUAGCUGGUUCUCCCCGAAAGCUAUUUAGGUAGCGCCUCGUGAAUUCAUCUCCGGGGGUAGAGCACUGUUUCGGCAAGGGGGUCAUCCCGACUUACCAACCCGAUGCAAACUGCGAAUACCGGAGAAUGUUAUCACGGGAGACACACGGCGGGUGCUAACGUCCGUCGUGAAGAGGGAAACAACCCAGACCGCCAGCUAAGGUCCCAAAGUCAUGGUUAAGUGGGAAACGAUGUGGGAAGGCCCAGACAGCCAGGAUGUUGGCUUAGAAGCAGCCAUCAUUUAAAGAAAGCGUAAUAGCUCACUGGUCGAGUCGGCCUGCGCGGAAGAUGUAACGGGGCUAAACCAUGCACCGAAGCUGCGGCAGCGACACUAUGUGUUGUUGGGUAGGGGAGCGUUCUGUAAGCCUGCGAAGGUGUACUGUGAGGUAUGCUGGAGGUAUCAGAAGUGCG
rnacentral:rRNA from 1 species